rnacentral:rRNA from 1 species
AGAAAGUCACGGCUAACUACGUGCCAGCAGCCGCGGUAAUACGUAGGUGGCAAGCGUUAUCCGGAUUUAUUGGGCGUAAAGAGAGUGCAGGCGGUUUUCGUUAAGUCUGAUGUGAAAGCCUUCGGCUUAACCGGAGAAGUGCAUCGGAAACUGGAUAACUUGAGUGCAGAAGAGGGUAGUGGAACUCCAUGUGUAGCGGUGGAAUGCGUAGAUAUAUGGAAGAACACCAGUGGCGAAGGCGGCUACCUGGUCUGCAACUGACGCUGAGACUCGAAAGCAUGGGUAGCGAACAGGAUUAGAUACCCUGGUAG